UAGGUACUCCCUCCGUUCGGAAUUACUCGUCCAAGAAAUGAAUGUAUCUAGAUGUAUUUUAGUUGUAGAUACAUCCAUUUUUGUGACAAGUAAUUCCGAACAGAGGGAGUAGUAA
rnacentral:pre_miRNA from 1 species